GAGUACGACCGCAAGGUUGAAACUCAAAAGAAUUGACGGGGGCCCGCACAAGCGGUGGAGCAUGUGGUUUAAUUCGAAGCUACGCGAAGAACCUUACCAGGUCUUGACAUCUUCUGCCAACCUAAGAGAUUAGGCGUUCCCUUCGGGGACAGAAUGACAGGUGGUGCAUGGUUGUCGUCAGCUCGUGUCGUGAGAUGUUGGGUUAAGUACAUGCAAGUCGAACGCAACUUCCGUUAAUUGACUAGUUGCCAGCAUGCAGUUGGGCACUCUAAUGAGACUGCCGGUAACAAAACCGAAGUGAAGGUGGCGGACGACGUCAGUAAUCAUCAUGGGUAACCUGCCCUAUGAAGCAGGGCAUACACACCUGCUACAACAGAUGCUACAUACCGUAGUAACAGAGAAAACCGCCAGGUUUAGCUAAUCUCUUAAAACCAUGGCUCAGCUAUCGGACUGUAUGGAUGCAACCGCGGCGCAUUAGCUACGAAGGUCAGGUAAUCGGCUCACCAAGCGCGAUGAUGCGUAGCCGACCUGACAGCGGUAAAUACGGUCCACAUUGGGACUUGUACACACCGCCCAGACUCACUACCGGAGGCAGCAGUAGGGGAAUCACUCCACAAGCCGGUGGACGCAACCUCUGAUGGAGCAACGCCGUCGUAAGGUGAAGACAGAUGAUUAGGCUCCGUAAAGCUCUGUUGUUAAAGAAGAACGUGGGUGAGAGUAACUGUUCACCCAGUGACGGUAUUUAACCAGAAAGCCACGGCUAACUACGUGCCAGCAGCCGCGGUAAUACGUAGGUGGCAAGCGUUAUCCGGAUUUAUUGGGCGUAAAGCGAGCGCAGGCGGUCUUUUAAGUCUAAUGUGAAAGCCUUCGGCUCAACCGAAGAAGUGCAUUGGAAACUGGGAGACUUGAGUGCAGAAGAGGACAGUGGAACUCCAUGUGUAGCGGUGAAAUGCGUAGAUAUAUGGAAGAACACCAGUGGCGAAGGCGGCUGUCUGGUCUGUAACUGACGCUGAGGCUCGAAAGCAUGGGUAGCGAACAGGAUUAGAUACCCUGGUAGUCCAUGCCGUAAACGAUGAUUACUAAGUGUUGGAGGGUUUCCGCCCUUCAGUGCUGCAGC
rnacentral:rRNA from 1 species